rnacentral:rRNA from 1 species
GACGAACGCUGGCGGCGUGCUUAACACAUGCAAGUCGAGCGGAGCGGCGAACGGGUGAGUAACGCGUGAGUAACUGCCCCCCUCUCUGGGAUAACAGAUGGAAACGGCUGCUAAUAACGGAUAGUGGGGGAUGACUCGCGUCCUAUCAGCUUGUUGGUGGGGGAGUGGCCUACCAAGGCGGUGACGGGUAGCCGGCCUUAGAGGGUGACCGGCCACAUGGGGCUGAGAUACGGCCCAGACUCAUACGGGAGGCAGCAGUGGGGGAUAGUGCAUAAUGGGCGAAAGCCUGAUGCAGCGACGCCGCGGGGGGGAUGAAGGCUUUCGGGUUGUAGACCUCUUUCGCUAUCGAAAGGGUAGGUGGAGAAGAAGCGCCGGCUAACUACGUGCCAGCAGCCGCGGUAAUAC